AAGCAAUACUUGUGAUGGCUGUGUGCUGAGUGGGGCAACAUUUGAGAAAACAGACCUGUGUGCUGAAAACCCUUGUGAUGUAAAAACUUCAAACUGCACAUCACAGGAUGGAGCUUACAGCUGUACCUGUUUGGAAAAACAUUUUCAAACAGACUUCAGUGACAGAAUGUGCACUGCUUGUCCUAGUG